GACGAACGCUGGCGGCGUGCUUAACACAUGCAAGUCGAACGGAAAGGCCCCUUUGGGGGUACUCGAGUGGCGAACGGGGGAGUAACACGUGAGUAACCUGCCCUUGACUUCGGGAUAACUUCAGGAAACUGGGGCCAAUACCGGAAAGGAAUCCUUGCUGCAUGGUGGGGGUUGGAAAGCUUCGGCGGUUUUGGAUGGACUCGCGGCUUAUCAGCUUGUUGGUGGGGUAGUGGCUUACCAAGGCUUUGACGGGUAGCCGGCCUGAGAGGGCGAGCGGCCACAUUGGGACUGAGAUACGGCCCAGACUCCUACGGGAGGCAGCAGUGGGGAAUAUUGCACAAUGGGCGGAAGCCUGAUGCAGCAACGCCGCGUGCGGGAUGACGGCCUUCGGGUUGUAAACCGCUUUCAGCAGGGGCGAAGUUUGUGGUGACGGUACCUGCAGAAGAAGCACCGGCUAACUACGUG
rnacentral:rRNA from 1 species